UGACAUUCUAGCUGCUGCUGCUGAUCCAAUGGAAGGAGCCCGUGGACUUUUUUCAAGAGUAAAGAACACAUAUCCUCAAGGUCCCAGCAUGCUAGACGAUCACCGAGAUUACAUUUUGAUCCUUCAAUACUGCCCCAACUCAAGCCCUGGACACUACCUUGGUGUCUGGCGUCCUGGAGGUGAAACAGCAGUAGCAGUAGCCGUUGCGUUUCCAAGGCUCGGACACUCUUAGCGACAUCACACAACCGCCCACAAAAAUGCCAGCUUGUGAAACUGCUAAGGAGAAGGGUGAAAACAUUAUUUUCAUUUCUGAACAAAUAAAAAUAAUCAGAUCUAAACGCAGAAUGCUGCUC
rnacentral:lncRNA from 1 species